UAACUGGAGGGAUUUUUCCUAUCCUUGC
rnacentral:sRNA from 1 species